UACGUAGGUGGCAAGCGUUGUCCGGAUUUACUGGGCGUAAAGAGCGCGCAGGCGGUCUUUUUAAGUCGAAUGUGAAAGCCCCCCGGCUCAACUGGGGAGGGUCAUUCGAUACUGAUCGACUUGAAGGCAGGAGAGGGUAGUGGAAUUCCCGGUGUAGUGGUGAAAUGCGUAGAUAUCGGGAGGAACACCAGUGGCGAAGGCGACUACCUGCCUGUUCUUGACGCUGAGGCGCGAAAGCUGGGGGAGCAAACGGGG
rnacentral:rRNA from 1 species